AGAGUUUGAUCAUGGCUCAGGACGAACGCUGGCGGCGUGCCUAAUACAUGCAAGUCGAACGAGGUCUCUCUCGGUGGCAACACCUUGGGUUACCUAGUGGCGAACGGGUGAGUAACACGUGAGGAACCUGCCCCGAAGACCGGGAUAACCAGAGGAAACCCUGGCUAAUACCGGAUACCCCCACCGGAUCGCAUGGUCUGGUGAGGAAAUGGAUUCCGCUUCGGGAGGGCCUCGCGGCCUAUCAGCUUGUUGGUGGGGUAACGGCCCACCAAGGCUUCGACGGGUAGCUGGUCUGAGAGGACGAUCAGCCACACUGGGACUGAGACACGGCCCAGACUCCUACGGGAGGCAGCAGUAGGGAAUCUUGCGCAAUGGGCGAAAGCCUGACGCAGCAACGCCGCGUGCGGGAUGACGGCCUUCGGGUUGUAAACCGCUUUCAGCAAGGACGAAAUUGACGGUACCUGCAGAAGAAGCCCCGGCCAACUACGUGCCAGCAGCCGCGGUA
rnacentral:rRNA from 1 species